rnacentral:tRNA from 1 species
GCCUGGUUGGCUCAGUCAGUAGAGCGUGCGACUCUUAUUCUCAGGGUCAUGAGUUCAAGCCCCACGCUGGGCA